AGAGUUUGAUCAUGGCUCAGGAUGAAUGCUGGCGGCGUGCCUUAGGCAUGCAAGUCGAACGGACCAAGUUUACUUGGUUAGUGGCAGACGGGUGAGUAACGGGUAGGAAUCUACCUCUUAGUGGGGAAUAACUAGACGAAAGACUAGCUAAUACCGCAUAAGUCCGAAAGGAGAAAGAGCGUAACUGCUCGCUGAGAGAUGAGCCUGCCUACUAUCAGCUUGCUGGUGAGGUAAAGGCUCACCAAGGUUAUGACGGUUAGGGGACGUGAGAGCGUGAUCCCCCACAAGGUCACUGAGACACGGGGCCUACACCUACGGGUGGCAGCAACCGGGAAUAUUGCGCAAUGGACGAAAGUCUGACGCAGCGACGCCGCGUGCGGGAUGACGGCCUUCGGGUUGUAAACCGCUGUGGAGAGGGAUGAAUUUUGACAGUACCUCUCUAGAAAGCACCUGCUAACUACGUGCCAGAAGCCUCGGUAAUACGUAGGGUGCAAGCAUUAUCCGGAUUUAUUGGGCGUAAAGGGUUUCGUAGGCGGUAAAUCAAGUGGUGGGUUAAAGACUGGGGCUCAACUCCNGAAGUGCCCAUCNNCUGAUUAACUAGAGGGAGUUCGGGGAUGUUGNAAUUGACAGUGUAGGANUGGAAUCCGUUGAUAUUNNCAAGAACACCAAAGGCNANNNAGACNUCUNGAACUAUCCUGACGCUGAUGAACGAAAGCUAGGGGAGCGAAAGGGNNUAGAGANCCCUGUAGUCCUAGCCGUAAACNAUGAACACUAGCUGNUCGAGUUU
rnacentral:rRNA from 1 species